rnacentral:rRNA from 1 species
UUCCCUUUUGUUUGUCUGUUUUGGGAUUUUGCAGUUGAUGCUGUAGUAGCUCAAAAACAAAGUGUGUUGUAAGGUUGUGGCUUAUUGUCUGUUGGAAGUGUAAAAAAAUCUGUUUGUUUUAGGUAUCGUGAGAGAAAAUGUGGUUUGAACCUAGUGGGUAAUAGUAGAAGGUUAAUAGAUAUUUUAAAUUAGUGUACUUUUCGGAGAAUGGUUUAUAGAGUGAAAAAAAAUAUUUUUGUUCCAGAAAAUUUUAGAGCUAUUUUCUAUUAUGGCUGUUGUUGCAAAAACAGGAGAAAGUGGGAAAUAGGUGUGAUAUGUGAAUCGGAAAGGUUGAUAGCUGGUUAAGUAGGAAAUGUAUUUAAGUACAGCUAAGAUUGAUGGUUUAUCCAAUAUGAGGUUAUGGAGAGACUUUGUCUGAAGUGAGUUUAAAAGGGGUGAGCUUUUUAAAUUCUGGGGAGAGAUGGGUUGAAGUAGAAAUAAAAUUGUUCAGCUUUGAAACUUUGUGACGAAAUAGGCCUAUUAAGAAGUUUAGGUUUAGUACUAUUUUUUUAAUGUGGGUUUUAUGUUAAAGAUUAGUAUAAGAUUAGUAGGAAAAAGGUGUUUAUUUGUGUUUAAGAAUAAAGAAUGGUUAAUGAAUAAAUGUAUCGUAAAAUAAAUUUACUUUCAAGGAACUCGGCAAAUAUGGUCUCCGCCUGUUUAACAAAAACAUGGCCCUUUGUUAUUCUAGUAUAAAGGGUCGGACCUGCCCGGUGGGAUUAGCUAGCCUUAACGGUUGCAACUAGAGUUGUGUUAAUGUAGCGUAAUAAUUAGCCUUUUAAAAGGAGGGAGGAAUGAAUGGUUUGACGAGAGACCUGCUGUCUCGGAAGUAAAUUCUAAAGUUUUCUUUUAAGUGAAAAGACUUAGAUUUUUAAAUAAGAAGAGAAGACCCCGGUGAGCUUGAUAAACCUUAAUUAAGAAGUUAAGCUUUGAAGUUUUGUUGGGGCAACAGGAAGGGAAAAAGAACCCUUCCGGUGGUGGUGAAGAUCCCCUAUGAGGGAAGUUAGCAAAAGCUACCACGGGGAUAACAGCUUAAUCUUUUCUGAGAGAACAAAUUGAAGAGAAGGAUUGCGACAUCGAUGUUGGAUUAGGGUGCCCUUUCGGUGCAGAAGUUGAAAAGGGGAGACUGUUCGUCUUUUAAAUCCCUACAUGAUCUGAGUUCAGACCGGCGUGAGCUAGGUCAGUUUCUAUCUAUUUUAAAGCUUUUUUAGUACGAAAGGAAUUUUGAGCUAUGUAGAACUCCACUGAUAGUGGGGAUGAUUACUUUUGGUCCGGUUUUUAGAAGGUUGAUUUUUUUAUGCGUUUUAAGCUACGUGUUUUGUAUCUUAUGCUAUUUGUG